GCGCAGCAGGCGCGAAACUUCACACUGUGCGAAAGCACGAUGAGGGAAUCCCAAGUGCUUGCACGUAAGUGUAAGCUGUUUCUCUGUCUAAAACGCAGAGAGAGUAAGGGCUGGGUAAGACGGGUGCCAGCCGCCGCGGUAAUACCUGCAGCUCAAGUGGUGACCGUUAUUAUUGGGCCUAAAACGUCCGUAGCCGGUUUAAUAAAUGCCUGGGUAAAUUGUGUAGCUUAACUAUACGAAUUCCGGGUAGACUGUUAAACUUGAGACCGGGAGAAGUUAGAGGUACUCCUGGGGUAGAGGUGAAAUUCUGUAAUCCUAGGGGGACCACCAGUGGCGAAGGCGUCUAACUAGAACGGGUCUGACGGUGAGGGACGAAGCCCUGGGGCGCAAACGGGAUUAGAUA
rnacentral:rRNA from 1 species